AAGCGUUGUCUCUACUCGUCACUAAAUAUCCGCAUAAAAUUUUUCAAAGAUAUCAUUUCCACGACGUAUGUUAAAAAUGCUCUUAAAAUAAUUAUAUUAUUAAAGUUCAAAUUUCAAUGAUAAUAAGAUUAACUAUCCUAAACAAAGACUUGGCAGUGAAUUAAUAACGAGCAAAACCAGAACAAGAAUUCUGUUGACACGUGAUUGAAAUCUGUAUAAAAUUUAAUUGACAAUAGAAAUUCACGGUUUAUAGCAAACAAUAAAAAGUACGAAUGAAAACAGAAAAUUUAAGUAAUCAAAGUUAUCCAUGAAACGUGAAAACAAAAUACAAAGAUGAAGUUCUUGUCUAUCCUCUUGGUUGGCAUCUUUGUCUAUUUGCAGAUGGGAAAUAUAAAGGCAGAAGAGGAUAUUCUGUGUGAUAGGAUCGACUAUUGUAAGGCCUAUUGCAACGUAAUAUGUAAGGAAGUUUCUUGUACGGCUGAGUGUGUGAAUAACGAAUGCUAUUGCACUCCGAACAUUUUGAAGGCGGCUAAGGAAACCCAACAGAAAAGUGCCAGUUAGCGAGGGAAAAUACUUAUAAUUCUGAUAGAUUUUUCUAUUCUUGAAGCAUAAACAACGAAAUAAAAUGUUUAUAGCAUA